GGCGCAGGGCAGAAAUCCCUUCUGCACAGGUUGGUCUUGGUGGCRAGGAGCUGCCCGGAGCUUGCAGACAAGCGGGAGCUGGCAGGGCACUGGGAGCGGCUUUUCCAGAGCUUGCAGCGCUACUACCACGGCGAGGCUGUCACGGGGCUGCUGCUGCUGUACCCCUCCUGCGCGGCCCAUGUGCUUGAGGCCUCCAGCGACAUGCUGUUUGCUGUGCUGCGGGACCUGCGGGACAUGAGGCAGCCGGGAUGCAGGUGAUGGUCCCCAGGYGCUGGCUGGAUGCGGCCCCAGGGUGCUGCAGUCUGGCCAGGACGGCUGCUGGGARAGCCCGUGCCCAGGGCUGCCAAGGGCAUGGCCC
rnacentral:lncRNA from 1 species